GACGAACGCUGGCGGCGUGCUUAACACAUGCAAGUCGAGCGAGGCCCCUCCUUCGGGAGGGUGUCCUAGCGGCGAACGGGUGAGUAACACGUGGGCAACCUGCCCCCGGCUCUGGGAUAACUCCAAGAAAUUGGGGCUAAUACCGGAUAUGACCGCUGACCGCAUGGUCUGGUGGGGGAAAGAUUUAUCGGCUGGGGAUGGGCCCGCGGCCUAUCAGCUUGUUGGUGGGGUAGUGGCCUACCAAGGCGACGACGGGUAGCCGGCCUGAGAGGGUGACCGGCCACAGUGGGACUGCGACACGGCCCAGACUCCUACGGGAGGCAGCAGUGGGGAAUAUUGCGCAAUGGGCGGAAGCCUGACGCAGCGACGCCGCGUGGGGGAUGACGGCCUUCGGGUUGUAAACCUCUUUCAGCAGGGACGAAGCGAAAGUGACGGUACCUGCAGAAGAAGCACCGGCCAACUACGUGCCAGCCGCCGCCGUAA
rnacentral:rRNA from 1 species